UACGGAGGGGGGCUAGCGUUUGUUUCGGAAUUACUGGGGCGUAAAGCGCACGUAGGCGGCUUUGUAAGUUAGAGGUGAAAGCCCGGGGGCUCAACUCCGGAAUUGCCUUUAAGACUGCAUCGCUAGAAUUGUGGAGAGGUAAGUGGAAUUCCGAGUGUAGAGGUGAAAUUCGUAGAUAUUCGGAAGAACACCAGUGGCGAAGGACGACUUACUGGACACAUAUUGAC
rnacentral:rRNA from 1 species